CCAACCUCCCCCCACCGUCCCUGCAGGCCCUGAAUUCCCCUGGCUCUCCUUGUCUCCAUCCCCACCCUGGGCCCUGCAGGCACAGGGGUUGGAGGUGAAACUGGGUGGAGUGGGAGUGGGGGGAGCAGAAGGGAUUUUCCCCCUCAGAUGGGGGCAGCCCUGGGCUGGGGGGGCUGGGGACACCCGUGUCCCUCCCCCAGCCCCACAGGGGCCAAUCCUGAGCAACCCUUUGCUCUCCUUCCCCAGGCACUCUUGGCAGGAACCCAAAAUGAUCUGCGGGAGCUGCAUUUAGUGGACGUUGGGAUCCUGAAGAUUGCUCAGGCUCCCAAUACAUCCCACUGCACCCAGUGUGUCUCUGAGCCUGUCUUCCUCCCCACUCCCCUGUGGUGGAG